rnacentral:rRNA from 1 species
UAAGGAAUAUUGGCCAAUGGACGCAAGUCUGAACCAGCCAUGCCGCGUGAAGGAUGAAGGUCCUCUGGAUUGUAAACUUCUUUUAUCUGGGACGAAAACGGGAUUUUUAUCUCAAUUGACGGUACCAGAGGAAUAAGCACCGGCUAACUCCGUGCCAGCAGCCGCGGUAAUACGUAGGGGGCAAGCGUUGUCCGGAUUUACUGGGUGUAAAGGGCGCGCAGGCGGGAUAAAAAGUCAGUGGUGAAAUCCUACAGCUUAACUGUAGAACUGCCUUUGAUACUUUUAUGCUUGAGUUCGGGAGAGNGAGACGGAAUUCCAGGUGUAGUGGUGAAAUACGUAGAUAUCUGGAAGAACACCAGUUGCGAAGGCGGUCUCUUGGUCCGACACUGACGCUGAGGCGCGAAAGCGUGGGGAGCAAACA